rnacentral:rRNA from 1 species
UACAGAGGGUGCGAGCGUUAAUCGGAAUUACUGGGCGUAAAGCGCACGUAGUCGGCUUUGCAAGUCGGGUGUGAAAUCCCCGGGCUCAACCUGGGAACUGCAUCCGAGACUGCAUUGCUAGAGUAUGGGAGAGGGAAGCGGAAUUUCUGGUGUAGCAGUGAAAUGCGUAGAUAUCAGAAGGAACAUCAGUGGCGAAGGCGGCUUCCUGGACCAAUACUGACG